rnacentral:rRNA from 1 species
AACGAACGCUGGCGGCAUGCCUAACACAUGCAAGUCGAACGAGACCUUCGGGUCUAGUGGCGCACGGGUGCGUAACGCGUGGGAACCUGCCCUUAGGUUCGGAAUAACUCCCCGAAAGGGGUGCUAAUACCGGAUAAUGUCUUCGGACCAAAGAUUUAUCGCCUUUGGAUGGGCCCGCGUUGGAUUAGCUAGUUGGUAGGGUAAAAGCCUACCAAGGCGACGAUCCAUAGCUGGUCUGAGAGGAUGAUCAGCCACACUGGGACUGAGACACGGCCCAGACGGCGAGGGGCGGAGGUAGUGGAAUACAUGGCGCAGUAGGGCACAGCGUGACCGUGGCAGGCCGGGUGGGGGGAGCAGCACUGAGGUGUGACAACCUCUUGGACCGGGGAUGAUAAUGACAGGACGGGAAGAAUGAGCUCGGACAAGCCCGGUGCCAGCAGCCGAGGUAAGAAUCGAACAGCCCACGUUUGAAC